rnacentral:rRNA from 1 species
AUUGAACGCUGGCGGCAUGCUUUACACAUGCAAGUCGAACGGUAACAGGCCGCAAGGUGCUGACGAGUGGCGAACGGGUGAGUAAUGCAUCGGAACGUGCCCAGUCGUGGGGGAUAACGCAGCGAAAGCUGCGCUAAUACCGCAUACGAUCUAUGGAUGAAAGCGGGGGACCGUAAGGCCUCGCGCGAUUGGAGCGGCCGAUGUCAGAUUAGGUAGUUGGUGGGGUAAAGGCUCACCAAGCCGACGAUCUGUAGCUGGUCUGAGAGGACGACCAGCCACACUGGGACUGAGACACGGCCCAGACUCCUACGGGAGGCAGCAGUGGGGAAUUUUGGAAAAUGGGCGCAAGCCUGAUCCAGCAAUGCCGCGUGCAGGAAGAAGGCCUUCGGGUUGUAAACUGCUUUUGUACGGAACGAAACGGUCCUGGUUAAUACCCGGGGCUAAUGACGGUACCGUAAGAAUAAGCACCGGCUAACUACGUGCCAGCCGCCGCAGUAACAC